rnacentral:rRNA from 1 species
GAUGAACGCUGGCGGCGUGCCUAAUACAUGCAAGUCGAGCGAACAGACGAGGAGCUUGCUCCUCUGACGUUAGCGGCGGACGGGUGAGUAACACGUGGAUAACCUACCUAUAAGACUGGGAUAACUUCGGGAAACCGGAGCUAAUACCGGAUAAUAUAUUGAACCGCAUGGUUCAAUAGUGAAAGACGGUUUUGCUGUCACUUAUAGAUGGAUCCGCGCCGCAUUAGCUAGUUGGUAAGGUAACGGCUUACCAAGGCAACGAUGCGUAGCCGACCUGAGAGGGUGAUAGGCCACACUGGAACUGAGACACGGUCCAGACUCCUGCGGGAGGCAGCAGUAGGGAAUCUUCCGCAAUGGGCGAAAGCCUGACGGAGCAACGCCGCGUGAGUGAUGAAGGUCUUCGGAUCGUAAAACUCUGUUAUUAGGGAAGAACAAAUGUGUAAGUAACUAUGCACGUCUUGACGGUACCUAAUCAGAAAGCCACGGCUAACUACGUG